UAUUUUCUAGUUUCUAAUGUUAUGUUUUCUGUUUCAUUUACUGCCUUCUUGUUGGGUAUGCAACUCUGUCAACGUUUCACUUUUGAUUGUUGGUAGUUCAAUAUUUAGACCAUGACGUUUCGAAUCAAACAGUAAAUUAUAUUGAAAAAUAGAGCUUCUUGUUAAUUUCUUCAGGUACUAACAAGAAGCCUCCUCCUGAGAGGUGUUCCAAUCAACUUAUCUCUAUUUCUCAAUAUAGCAGUUUAAUUGUUUCUGGGAUGAAUUGGUCAACGGGGUGAUGGGCCAUAGUGUAAGACUAUAAGUUGUAGGACUAUGUUGUUUGUAGAAAUUCACCAGCAUCUUGCAACAAAAAGGGAAGCUGUAGAUCAUCUAUGGUAUAUUAUUUAUGCUUUGGUGAUUUAUACCCCUGUCCAUCAUUCCAUGUGAUAAUUUUUCCCCUCGAUUCCAGGCAAUUGAAGAAAAGAACUUUAGCAUACUUCCAAUAAAUAACUCUUUUAUUGCCCAGAAGAAAUAUUGCUUGGUUCAGUUUGAAACUCUACCCUAUUCCACAAGAGCAAUGCUUAUCCUGGACCUCACUAUUUAUAUUUUAGCAUUCAAUUAAAUUUAUUCUCUGCCUUUUAUUUUUAGUUAAUUUUAUGUAACCAAAUCUAGUAAAGAUUGGAGUUUUGAUGAUUUUGUAGGUGAAGCAAAUGAACAAGAGUAGGUGAAUGCGGUGAAGACCUUACUGAAGAGUAUUGGUUGAUCACUGAUAGACUUUAAGAUGUUCUAGAAUCUUGUAUUUUAAACUAUUUUGCAAUCUUAUGUGUUAACUCUUGAAUUGUCAAACAAUAUUAUGUAUUUUGCCUUUAUAUAUGAAUAAUAAUAGUUGAAUAUGUUGG
rnacentral:lncRNA from 1 species